AUUGAACGCUGGCGGCAGGCCUAACACAUGCAAGUCGAGCGGAGCGGCGGACGGGUGAGUAAUGCCUAGGAAUCUGCCUGGUAGUGGGGGAUAACGUCCGGAAACGGGCGCUAAUACCGCAUACUAUCAGAUGAGCCUAGGUCGGAUUAGCUAGUUGGUGGGGUAAAGGCCUACCAAGGCGACGAUCCGUAACUGGUCUGAGAGGAUGAUCAGUCACAAGGGAAAGGAGAAACGGGCCAGACGCAUACGGGAUGCAGCAGGGGGGAAGAGUGGAAAAUGUGCGAGAGCAGGAUACAGCCAGGAGUAGGGUGGGAAGAAGGUCUUAGGAUUGUAAAGCACUUUAAGGUGGGAGGCGUGACCAACAGAAUAAGCGCCGGAUAACUUCGUGCCAGCAGCAGCGGUAAUUC
rnacentral:rRNA from 1 species